rnacentral:lncRNA from 1 species
UGACUGCAAGAGUAUGUUCCUUGUAGAACAUGUGGAAGAGCCGAAAGAAGACAAUUUCUAUGCCUUGGCACCUUGCUUUUUUUGCUAUUUAACUUCUUUGGAAGAAAACGUGCCCUGGUGUUCUGGCUGCCUUGGGUUGGGUGAUUAGGAAGAGAGCUUGUCCCCCUGCACUUCAGUUUCUUUUUCCUCCAAGCUGUGGGCUCACCGACCUUGCUGUGUGACCUUGGGCAGAUGACAGAAGCUCCUGAGCUCCAGGCCCUCCUCUGUCCUGUGAGGGAGGCCAGCGGGCAUUGUCUCCAGAACUCUCCGCCGGCUGGAGAAGGGCAGUGCGCGGUGGCCGAGGACCAGGACGCAGGGCCGCCGGAGCCGCCGGUCUUCGGAGCUGAAACACCGCGGAAGGGGAAGCACCAGUGCAGGCCGGGGCCCUGCGGGGGCAGACGCGGGACUGGGCGCUGCUGCUGUGAUGGAGCCGGUGUCCGGGGCAGGGCCCGGGUGGCCGACUGCAGGCGCCCCCUUUGGGCCCCAGUUUCCAGCCUCAGGUGUGAACAAGCUGCACGAGGUGGAAGUGAGUAUCUCUGCAGGAAGCAGGGUCAGGCGGGGCGGGUU